rnacentral:rRNA from 1 species
GACGAACGCUGGCGGCGUGCUUAACACAUGCAAGUCGAGCGGUAAGGCCCUUUCGGGGUACGACGAGCGGCGAACGGGUGAGUAACACGUGGGUGACCUGCCCUCAGCUCUGGGAUAAGCCUGGGAAACCGGGUCUAAUACCGGAUAUGACUCCAUGACGCAUGUUGUGGGGUGGAAAGCCUUGUGCGGCUGAGGAUGGGCCCGCGGCCUAUCAGCUUGUUGGUGGGGUGAUGGCCUACCAAGGCGACGACGGGUAGCCGGCCUGAGAGGGCGACCGGCCACACUGGGACUGAGACACGGCCCAGACUCCUACGGGAGGCAGCAGUGGGGAAUCUUGCGCAAUGGGCGAAAGCCUGACGCAGCGACGCCGCGUGAGGGAUGACGGCCUGUGU